rnacentral:lncRNA from 1 species
GCUAGCGAAAGUCCUCACCCUCUGAAAGGCGAACGCCGCUCGGCUGAACCCAGGCGACUCCCAAAUCUCCACCAGCUUACCCACCCCCACGGCGAUGAACCUGCCGUCGGGGCUGAACUUCAAGGCGCCGACUUUCCCCUUGAAGGUCAUCCGGUGGAGCACCGCGCGGCGAGGGACGUUGAUGAAGAGGCACCGGCUGUUCUCGUCGACGGCCAUCAGGAAAGUGCCGUCGGGGGAGGCGGCGAGGCGGCAUAUGUUGGUGGAGGUGCUGAGCUCGAGGGUGACGGUGUGGUGCUUGGUGAGGUCGGUGACGGAGACGCGGUUGCCGACGGGGGAGAUGAGCUGGGUGUUUUGGGUGACGACGGCGUUUCCGCCUCUGUAGGGGGCGCCGAGAAGGUUUUGGAAUCGGUAAUUCAUGGCUUGAGGAUCGGUGACGAAGUCUGGAGAGAGGAAGGAUGGAAAUGCCGGCGGCGACGUUAGGGUUUAAGGUGCGAGUGUUUCGAUCUAUCUCUCGGACGCAGAACCCUUCUUCUCGAUUAUUUUCUAAUUUAUACUGGUUUAAUUACCGGUACAAAAGAAAAAGAAAAAGAAAAAGAAUUAAAAAAGGGAAGGACCAAGUUUCGGGGAUUUGAACCCGACGUGAAUCGAACACGCAACCUUCUGAUCUGGAGUCAGACGCGCUACCAUUGCGCCACGGAUCCUUGGUGCUAGAUAACUCAUCUACAUUGUUUAUAUCUAUUACAGAAUCAGUGUUCAUACGUUGAAGGAUGAAGAAGCUGGAACAUGCGUUGUUCGAAAGUGAAUUCGUACAUUUUAUGAAAGUGUUUUAAAAUAAUUCGCAUUGUAGAAGAGUAGAAGACAAGGAGAACGUAAUUGAUACACGUUCGUAACAUUUUAUGUAUUACUACUGCUAAGAAGGGCAUAUGGAGGUUUAAGAAGAAGGAAUAAAGCCACAUGUCAUCUAUGUUUUUGAUCUACAAACAAAUACUAUGUGGUCAAAUAACUGGAAAAAUGGUAUAUUCAUUGUUUUUUGGUUAUUACAUCACUGACUGUCUCGUAGUACUCGUGUUUCAUCCUCCGCUUGCACUUUUUCCUUGGGAUAAAUCUGCAUAAGGUUAUCAACAAUGUAACAUAAGUGUCAUGAAAUGUUAAAAUUCAACUCAAGGAUGGAUCUCUAUAAAAGAAAUAAACCUGGUUGCCUUUGUCUUCAUUAAGACUAAGCGUACGGACUUUAAGCUCCCCUCUUCUCGUCGUUAACUCGUCAAAAAUCUCAGCAUCAUUCUCUGGGACGCCUUUCGUUGUAUCAGUUGCCUAGAUCACCAAAGGUUGUUAGUUAACUCAUGCAUUAGUUCCACAAACUUAGAUAUUAAUAAACGUCAUACAUGACAAAGACAAGAGGUAUAUAUAUAUACCCGGAAAGACAAUUCAAGCGGGUCCCUAGGAGUGCCGGGGAUCUCCUCGUACUCGGCCGCAUCGAGUUCUCGGAGAUGAGACGGGUUAAAGAGCUUAGGGAGAAUGUACUGUCUGAUGGCUAUCAAUAGAAAGAAAGGAACCGGAAACAUUAUUCCCGCCACAGGAAUCCACGUGACUCCGUAACAAAUCCCAAAGUAGACUAUCUGCAAGAUUGUGAACGCAGCCAUCGACUUGUAAGGAACCUUCUCCACGAACGACGCGUGUGCUCCCUCCAAGACCCUGUAAAAUAAUCACAUGAUCAUCAGUCACAUGUCUUUGCUUGAAUAACAAGAAAGGGUGUUUUGAGAGUGCAUAUACUUGAAUCUCCGGCUUGGUAGGACGAAGAGAAGCAUCAUGCGCUCGAAGAAUUACUAUUAACCUUAUUAGUCAUCUUAUCAACACCAAAGAAGCAACCCACAACGGAAUCUCUAUGACCAAGAAACAAAUAAGGCUUAUUCAAGACCCCCUUCAACUUCCUAACGCAAAACAGCCUCGCCGCCAAAUCCUUAGUCCCGACAAGCAAAUACUCAGAGUCCAAGCUCCACUCCAAGGAGACAACUUUAUCAUCGGAGCUAGCGAAAGUCCUCACCCUCUGAAAGGCGAACGCCGCUCGGCUGAACCCAGGCGACUCCCAAAUCUCCACCAGCUUACCCACCCCCACGGCGAUGAACCUGCCGUCGGGGCUGAACUUCAAGGCGCCGACUUUCCCCUUGAAGGUCAUCCGGUGGAGCACCGCGCGGCGAGGGACGUUGAUGAAGAGGCACCGGCUGUUCUCGUCGACGGCCAUCAGGAAAGUGCCGUCGGGGGAGGCGGCGAGGCGGCAUAUGUUGGUGGAGGUGCUGAGCUCGAGGGUGACGGUGUGGUGCUUGGUGAGGUCGGUGACGGAGACGCGGUUGCCGACGGGGGAGAUGAGCUGGGUGUUUUGGGUGACGACGGCGUUUCCGCCUCUGUAGGGGGCGCCGAGAAGGUUUUGGAAUCGGUAAUUCAUGGCUUGAGGAUCGGUGACGAAGUCUGGAGAGAGGAAGGAUGGAAAUGCCGGCGGCGACGUUAGGGUUUAAGGUGCGAGUGUUUCGAUCUAUCUCUCGGACGCAGAACCCUUCUUCUCGAUUAUUUUCUAAUUUAUACUGGUUUAAUUACCGGUACAAAAGAAAAAGAAAAAGAAAAAGAAUUAAAAA